AGAGCACCUACAACGACUGGUGGCGCAGGGGGUGUCGGGUGUCAGCGGCCGCACUUUGCGGCCGGUCGUGCGGGUCGGGCGCGGGCGGGCGGGCGCGGCGGCAGAGGCGCGCACAGGUGAUUGACUGGCCAGCUGGCUGAAGGAGCUCCUGGUCCUCAUUGCUGGCAGGUGGCGGAUCUUAUUUGGGCAGCGGCGGAGGCGCCGGUGGUGGCAGUGGCGGCCCUGCUCGUAAGGUGCUCCUGGGGCCAACGCUAUGGCCCCGCGGCUGCAGCUAGAGAAGGCGGCCUGGCGCUGGGCGGAGACGGUGCGACCAGAGGAGGUGUCGCAGGAACACAUCGAGACCGCCUACCGCAUCUGGCUGGAGCCCUGCAUCCGCGGCGUGUGCAGACGAAACUGCAAAGGAAAUCCAAAUUGCUUGGUUGGGAUUGGUGAGCAUAUUUGGUUAGGAGAAAUAGAUGAAAAUAGUUUUCAUAACAUUGAUGAUCCCAACUGUGAGAGGAGAAAAAAGAACUCAUUUGUGGGCCUCACUAACCUUGGAGCCACUUGUUAUGUCAACACGUUUCUCCAAGUGUGGUUUCUCAACCUGGAGCUUCGGCAGGCCCUGUACUUAUGUCCAAGUACCUGUAACGACUACAUGAUGGGAGAUAAUAUCCAGAAAGAGAAAGAUUAUGAGCCUCAAACAAUUUGUGAGCAUCUCCAGUAUUUGUUUGCCUUGUUGCAAAACAGUAAUAGGCGAUACAUUGAUCCAUCGGGAUUUGUUAAAGCCUUGGGUUUGGACACAGGGCAACAGCAGGAUGCCCAAGAAUUUUCAAAGCUCUUUAUGUCUCUUUUGGAAGAUACUCUGUCUAAACAAAAGAAUCCAGAUGUGCGGAACAUUGUCCAACAGCAGUUCUGUGGGGAAUAUGCUUAUGUAACUGUUUGCAAUCAGUGUGGCAGAGAGUCUAAGCUUUUAUCAAAGUUUUAUGAACUGGAGUUAAAUAUCCAAGGCCACAAACAAUUAACAGAUUGUAUCUCAGAAUUUUUGAAGGAAGAAAAAUUAGAAGGAGACAAUCGAUAUUUCUGUGAAAACUGUCAAAGCAAACAGAAUGCAACAAGGAAGAUCCGACUCCUGAGUCUGCCUUGCACUCUGAACUUGCAGCUAAUGCGUUUUGUCUUUGACAGGCAAACUGGACAUAAGAAAAAGCUGAAUACCUACAUUGGCUUCUCAGAAAUUUUGGAUAUGGAGCCUUAUGUGGAACAUAAAGGUGGGUCCUAUGUGUAUGAACUCAGUGCAGUCCUCAUACACAGAGGAGUGAGUGCUUAUUCUGGCCACUACAUUGCCCAUGUGAAAGAUCCACAGUCCGGUGAAUGGUAUAAGUUUAAUGACGAAGACAUAGAAAAGAUGGAGGGGAAGAAAUUACAACUAGGGAUUGAGGAAGAUCUAGCAGAACCUUCUAAGUCCCAGACACGGAAACCCAAGUGUGGCAAAGGAACGCACUGUUCUCGAAAUGCAUACAUGUUGGUUUAUAGACUACAGACUCAAGAAAAACCCAGCACAACUGUUCAGGUACCAGCUUUUCUUCAAGAGCUGGUAGAUCGGGAUAAUUCCAAGUUUGAGGAGUGGUGUAUUGAAAUGGCUGAGAUGCGAAAGCAAAGUGUGGAUAAAGGAAAAGCAAAGCACGAAGAGGUUAAGGAGCUGUACCAAAGGUUACCUGCUGGAGCUGAGCCCUAUGAAUUUGUCUCUCUUGAGUGGCUGCAGAAGUGGUUGGAUGAGUCAACACCCACCAAGCCUAUCGAUAAUCACGCUUGCCUGUGUUCCCAUGACAAGCUUCAUCCUGAUAAGAUACCAAUUAUGAAGAGGAUAUCUGAGUAUGCGGCUGACAUUUUCUAUAGUAGAUAUGGAGGAGGACCAAGACUAACUGUGAAAGCCCUGUGUAAGGAAUGUGUAGUAGAACGUUGUCGUGUAUUACGUCUGAAGAACCAACUAAAUGAAGAUUAUAAAACUGUUAAUAAUCUGCUGAAAGCAACAGUAAAGGGCAGUGACGGAUUCUGGGUGGGAAAAUCCUCCUUGCGCAGUUGGCGCCAGCUUGCUCUUGAACAGUUAGAUGAGCAGGAUGGUGACGCAGACCAAAGCAAUGGAAAAAUGAACGGCAGCACGUUGAAUAAAGAUGAAUCAAAGGAAGAAAGAAAAGAAGAGGAGGAGGAAUUAAAUUUUAAUGAAGAUAUUCUGUGUCCACAUGGAGAGUUAUGCAUAUCUGAGAAUGAAAGAAGGCUUGUUUCUAAAGAGGCUUGGAGCAAACUGCAACAGUACUUUCCAAAGGCUCCUGAAUUUCCAAGUUACAGAGAAUGCUGCUCACAGUGCAAGAUCUUAGAGAGAGAAGGGGAAGAAAAUGAAGCCUUACAUAAGAUGAUCGCAAAUGAGCAGAAGACGUCUCUGCCGAAUUUGUUCCAGGACAAAAACAGACCGUGUCUCAGUAACUGGCCAGAGGAUACGGAUGUCCUCUACAUUGUGUCACAGUUCUUUGUAGAAGAAUGGCGGAAAUUUGUUAGAAAACCUGCAAGAUGUAGUCCUGUGUCGUCGGUUGGAAACGGUGCUCUUCUGUGUCCCCAUGGGGGACUCAUGUUUACAUUUGCUUCCAUGACCAAAGAAGAUUCUAAACUUAUAGCUCUCAUAUGGCCCAGUGAGUGGCAAAUGAUACAAAAACUCUUUGUUGUGGAUCAUGUAAUUAAAAUCACGAGAACUGAAGUGGAAGAUGUAAGCCCUUCAGAAACACAAUAUAUUUCUGAGCCUAAACUCUGUCCGGAAUGCAGAGAAGGCUUACUGUGUCAACAGCAGAGGGACCUGCGUGAAUAUACUCAAGCCACCAUCUAUGUCCAUAAAGUUGUGGAUAAUAAAAAGGUGAUGAAGGAUUCGGCUCCAGAGCUGAAUGUGAGUAGCUCUGAAACAGAGGAGGAUAAGGAAGAAGCUAAACUGGAUGGAGAAAAAGAUCCAGAUUUUAAUCAAAGCAAUGGAGGAACAAAGCGGCAAAAGAUAUCUCACCAAAAUUAUAUAGCCUAUCAAAAGCAAGUUAUUCGGCGGAGUAUGCGACAUAGAAAAGUUCGUGGUGAGAAAGCACUUCUUGUUUCUGCUAAUCAAACAUUAAAAGAAUUGAAAAUUCAGAUCAUGCAUGCGUUUUCAGUUGCUCCUUUUGACCAGAAUCUGUCAAUUGAUGGAAAGAUUUUAAGCGAUGACUGUGCCACCCUCGGCACCCUUGGAGUCAUUCCUGAAUCUGUCAUUUUGUUAAAGGCUGAUGAACCAAUUGCAGAUUAUGCUGCAAUGGAUGAUGUCAUGCAAGUGUGUAUGCCAGAAGAAGGGUUUAAAGCAUGAAAGUGAAGAACUUGCCAUACUUGUGGAAAAGUGUCUUCAGAGAGUCCUCUCCGUGUCGGCCACAGUAUACCCACCUUACAUACAGCCCUGUGGGCUCUCUUUGUAUUGGGUAAGGGAGAGGGCAUCUGCGUGUCUCUGCAAGGAGCAAGGGAUUGUGUCUCAGUUUCGGCUUCAAAGGCUCUUUGCUUCCGUGCGUUUCAGAAAGGAUGGCGAAUGUUUAUUAUAUGGGAUAGCAUCUUGCUUCAGUUUUGCUCUUCAAAAGAGGGAAAUCACAUAUACCUUGCACUUCUGAAAAUUCUGACUACCUUAUCAGAAGUUAAAGUGGACUGAAAUGCAUUUGGAUAAUAAAAGAUUUUUAUAAAAUUUAUUCUUCCCAUCCUUUUAAGUCUACCAUUCUUGGAUCACGCCUCUCAUUUUGAAAGCAUUCUUCCAAACUACUCAGAAAUGAUCUCUUAGAUCACUUUGUUUAAAAAAAAACAAAAAAAAGUGUAUGGAUCAGGUGUGCCAUUAUAUCCAGUUCUGGAUUGUUGUUAUUAGCAACACAUGCCGGAAGCAAUAUUCUUAAGAAUGUUGAAGGAUUUUUUAAAGGAAUUUAAGACUGGAGUUUAUUUCUAACUAUUUCUGCUGUUGGAUAUGUGUGUACAUGUUUGGGGCAGAGAUGCUGAGUCAGGCGUCUCUUUUGCUAACACCUUUUUUAGCCUUGGUUUCUAGGCUCCCCUCACUUGUGAAAAUUUAAACUUAAAUAAUGGAUGGGGGUGGGGCCAGGUUUCAUGUUCAGGACCAGUAACCUUGGCGGCAUCCCUUUUGAAUAGCUCUUUUUUAUCAGAAUAAUCGCAGCUGUUUGGUAAAAUUAUAACUUAUUUGCAUUUCCCCUGUGUGUGUGUGUGCAGUGUCCUCAGCCCCUGAGGAGGUUGGGAAGGGUUGUUUAAUGAACCUGUGUGGGAGAGAGAUCAGCACGCAGGACCCUCAACCAUCCUAGGAACCAGCAGCUGCUGCCUUGAGGUUGGCACAGGGGAAGGACUCAAAGUUGAGAUCAUGGACAGCUAAAAUCCUGAUUUUUAGAUCUCAGUCUUUUAUUUUACUCCAAGGAAAUGAGACUGGAGCAUGAAAGUAGUAACACGCUAGGCAGCUUGUUUAUUCCCAGGGUAAAGGCUUGUGUACAGGUUCACAUAGCGCCUGAUGUAGCCAUUUGCUUUUCACUACAAUAAAGAAGCUAUGUGGCUAAAGGAAGUUCUUUUCAGGGAAUCUGCUCUGUUUCGCCAGUUAGCUGUCAGUCACAGUUUUAAAAUUUGGAAUGGUACAAAACAGCCAUUUUUAUAAGUCCUUCAGGCUGGUAACCCAGUUUCAGUCCUGGCUCCUUUAAUAACUCUGCCCCGGAGUGGGAGUGGGUUGGGCCCAGCAUCCUCAGCAGGUGAUGCUCCUAGGAGUCUGUCUUCAGCCCAGCAGUUAUUUUCUUCCUGCCCUGACAACUUCCCUGGUUCUGCCAGUGCUACUCAAAAUGUCAUCUGUGGCCCCCAAGCACCAGGAGAGGUGUGAAGCUUUAUUAGAAGUGCAAGCUCAGGCCUCGGACUCAAUGAAUUGGAAUCUACAUCCACAAGCUGUUCUUCUCCUCUUAGAAGUUGAGGAGCCUUGGGCUGGGACCUGCUUCUCACUGACAGUAAGCACUUACGAAGAAGUAUAUACAUGUAUUAGUGGCUUUGCACUGCCACCUCCAGUGCUUUGUACAGGGGUAUCAGGUACAAGGUGUUAAUAACCUAAAACUGAAUUCUUUGUAUUUGCAAAUAGAGACCAUUGUUUCCUGGGCUGUGACUGCAUUGAAGGGCAGACUCCGGGGUUUUUUUUAUGUCACACCAGUGUACUUCUUUUUAUAUUAGAUCAGUCUCCUGGUAUUAUGAAGCUUAAGGUUUUCCCUCCUAUUUCUGACCAUUCCUUAAUCCCAAACUAAUGUAUACAACAUACCAUGCUGGUAUACACUUUGUUGCAAUUACCUGAAAUACAGGUUGCCAAUUAGAUGUCCUCAUUCCCUGGGGGAAUAAGUAUCUUUCUGUGCAUUAGUGAACUUUGUCAUUUAAAAUUACUGUUACCUUUCUGCAAAAUUAAAAAGAAAUGAGUGUCCUUUUAUUUCCAUGGAAUCAUCAUCAGAGUGAAUUUUUGUGUCACUUUAAAUGUUCAGUUGGUUGAUCUGUGUGGUCAUGGACUUGGUCAGACCCUGGUUAAUAUUUAAAACUAAUGCUGGGAUUGAAUAACCCAGUUUAUAUAGGCAAAGGAUGAUUUAUCUCUGUCUAAACAAACCACAGAAGUGAAAUGAGCAUUAAAGCCUGUCUUUCCCAUUACAGAAUCAGCGAGGAGUAUCACAUCCUUUCUCUUCGGCAUCUUGAUGUUAGUUAGUUGGUGUUAUAGGCGACUGUGCACAGAGUUCAGUCCAGUGAAAGAAACAGCAUUUUCAUAGAAAGAUUCUCACCCCUUUGCCAGUACCCUGUGCACACCCGCACCAUGAGGUGCAGGGCUUUGUCACCAGUUGAAUUUCUGAUUACGAAAGCUAGCAGUUCACCAUCCCCAAACCCCAGACAUUGUGUGGACACCGAUACCAUCUGAGGAUUUGCUUGCCAACAAGGGGCUCCUUUUUUCAUUAAAAUUUAUAUGAACAUGUGAUGUGGUAACACCUUGACUGACAUGUUUCACUGAGCAACAGCAUUGUGCCAAGUCCUCUUGAGCUGGGGAAGGUCUACUAGGGAGAUAGAAAACCUUUCCAACCCACACAUCCCAAACCCUUGUUUUUUUUUUAAAUGGCUGUUGAGUGAGUUGAGCUAAGGAGUUUUGCUGGUUGUUCAGAUAGCACAUGGCAUGUGCAGGUGAGUGUUGAAAGGGCAGGUUUGGGAAGCUGGCUCACCUGUGUUCCAGGUCAUUUCACCAUCUACCUUAUAACUCAAGAAAAGUCAUUUUGCUUUGUCGUAGUUUCCCUAUCUGAGAGCAGGGCAGUACUUGCUGCCUUUUUUACCCUCCCACACCAAGGCUCAAGCAGUAAUAAGUAGUGUUGGGGUAAAAUGCCCUGUGGUUUAUAAUAGACUGUCUGUGUGAGAAAACGCUGUGGAAUCUUCUUUUCUGCAAGUCUUCACAAAGAGGUAACCACAUAGCCAAGUAACCUGGAACCCCUUCUCUGAGAACUUGAGAGCCUACCUAAUAAUGUUGGAAGCCCUUAGAGCUAAAAUGAUGCCUGGACAAGUGUUCAGUCAUCCUGUUACAUAAAUCUUUCCUCUUGGCAUGUAAGGAAAAUGAAGCUAAUGGCCAAACUAAGCCACCUUGAUUCUGUGUUUAUUUGCAGGGUCAUGAGGAGAGAUAUUUGAAACAUGUUCAGAAUGCGUGUUGAAUAUUUAUGUCUUUGUGAUGGGCAGGUCCUGCCCUAGAGGGGCAGCUUCCAGUGUUUUGAUUGUCACUGCCAAGAACGUCGGGAACAGGUGCUGAGAGCCUUGGAGGCAGAGCCGUGCAGGCACCAGGCAGCAGGGAGCGAUACAGAAGAUUGGCCAGUCAGACUACUUCCUGAUUGGAGAAUCAUGUGUUCCGUUGUUUAUUUACCUCUUGAGAUUUAACAAGUUGGUGAUAUUUUCAGAUGGUAAGAUUUCUGAGCUUCAUGAGAUUUGGGAGAGAAGGAGAUGGCAGAAGGUGUCCCAUGACUCGUCAAAGAGUUCUCUGACCUCUUCUAGUGAGAAUUGGCACCUGCACCAG